UAAUACGUAGGUGGCAAGCGUUGUCCGGAUUUACUGGGCGUAAAGAGCGCGCAGGCGGUCGUUCAAGUCGCGUGUGAAAGCCCCCGGCUCAACUGGGGAGGGUCACGCGAUACUGAUCGACUCGAAGGCAGGAGAGGGUAGUGGAAUUCCCGGUGUAGUGGUGAAAUGCGUAGAUAUCGGGAGGAACACCAGUGGCGAAGGCGACUACCUGGCCUGUUUCUUGACGCUGAGGCGCGAAAGCUAGGGGAGCAAACGGGAUUAGAUACCCUGGUAGUCCACGCCCUAAACGAUGAUUACUCGACAUCAGCGAUACACUGUUUGUGUCUGAGCGAAAGCAUUAAGUAAUCCACCUGGGAAGUACGAUCGCAAGAUUG
rnacentral:rRNA from 1 species